AACGAACGCUGGCGGCAGGCUCAACACAUGCAAGUCGAGCGCCCCGCAAGGGGAGCGGCAGACGGGUGAGUAACGCGUGGGAAUCUACCCAUCUCUACGGAAUAACGCAUGGAAACGUGUGCUAAUACCGUAUACGUCCUUCGGGAGAAAGAUUUAUCGGAGAUGGAUGAGCCCGCGUUGGAUUAGCUAGUUGGUGGGGUAAAGGCCUACCAAGGCGACGAUCCAUAGCUGGUCUGAGAGGAUGAUCAGCCACGCUGGGACUGAGACACGGCCCAGACUCCUACGGGAGGCAGCAGUGGGGAAUAUUGGACAAUGGGCGCAAGCCUGAUCCAGCCAUGCCGCGUGAGUGAUGAAGGCCCUAGGGUUGUAAAGCUCUUUCACCGGUGAAGAUAAUGACGGUAACCGGAGAAGAAGCCCCGGCUAACUUCGUGCCAGCCGCCGCCAGUAAGAC
rnacentral:rRNA from 1 species